AUUGAACGCUGGCGGCAGGCCUAACACAUGCAAGUCGAACGAGUGGCGGACGGGUGAGUAAUGUCUGGGAAACUGCCCGAUGGAGGGGGAUAACUACUGGAAACGGUAGCUAAUACCGCAUACCAUCGGAUGUGCCCAGAUGGGAUUAGCUAGUAGGUGGGGUAAUGGCUCACCUAGGCGACGAUCCCUGGCGGGUCUGAGAGGAUGACCAGCCAAACUGGAACUGGGACACGGGCCAGACGCCUACGGGAGGCAGCAGUGGGGAAUAUUGCACAAGGGGCACAAGCCUGAUGAAGCCAUGCCGGUGGUAGGAAGAAGGCCUUCGGUUUUUAAAGUACUUUCAGCGAGGAGGCGUUACUCGCAGAAGAAGCACCGGCUAACUCCGUGCCAGCAGCCGCGGUAAUUC
rnacentral:rRNA from 1 species